rnacentral:lncRNA from 1 species
AAUGGAAUGAAACCAAACAUGGCAUGAAUGUUCCUUAUGAGAUGCUGACCAAGUGUUGUUACUUUGUAGCCGAUCCAUCAUCCAAGAUGGCCGCCAGCGGGGGACUUAGUUUAACAUAGGACCCUAUGGGAAAUAUAUACAAAUGUCUUCUUUUAGAGAACCACUGUAUGGAAUGAAACCAAACAUGGCAUGAAUGUUCCUUAUGAGGUGUUGACCAAGUGUUAUUACUUUGUAGCCGAUCCAGCAUCCAAGAUGGCCACCAGCAGGG